rnacentral:rRNA from 1 species
UACGUAGGGUGCAAGCGUUGUCCGGAAUUAUUGGGCGUAAAGAGCUACGUAGGCGGUCUGUCGCGUCGGCUGUGAAAACCCGAGGCUCAACCUCGGGACCUGCAGUCGAUACGGGCGAACUAGAGUACUGCAGGGGAGGACUGGAAUUCCUGGUGUAGCGGUGAAAUGACGCAGAUAUCAGGAGGAACACCAAUGGCGAAGGCAGCUCGCUGGGACGGUACUGACGCUGAGGCGCGAAAGACGUGGGGA